AUGCUUUCACAACUUGACUUCAAAAUAUUUGGUUUGGAGACCAUCAAAGAUCAAUAUGUGCAUGAUGCUGAUUUUAAAGAUGUAAUGCAGAAUUGUAAAGAAGGAAGAAUGUGGAACAAGUUUGUUGUUAACGAUGGAUUUGUGUUUCGUGCUAACAAGCUAUGCAUUCCAGCUAGCUCCGUUCGUCUUCUGUUGUUGCAGGAGGCGCAUGGAGGAGGAUUAAUGGGACACUUUGGCGUGAAGAAGACGGAGGACGUACUUGCUACACAUUUCUUUUGGCCAAAGAUGAGACGGGAUGUUGAGCGUUUUAUUGCUCGCUGCACUACAUGUCAAAAAGCUAAGUCACGACUCAAUCCUCAUGGUUUAUAUAUGCCUUUGCCUGUACCUAGUGUUCCUUGGGAGGAUAUAUCUAUGGACUUUGUUUUAGGUUUACCUCGAACAAAGAAGGGGAGGGAUAGCAUAUUUGUUGUCGUGGAUAGAUUCUCGAAAAUGGCACACUUUAUACCAUGUCAUAAAAGCGAUGAUGCUGUUAAUGUUGCUGAUUUGUUCUUUCGUCAAAUUAUUCGCUUGCAUGGUGUGCCAAAUACUAUUGUUUCAGAUCGUGAUACUAAAUUUCUUAGCCACUUUUGGAGAUGUUUAUGGGCUAAGUUGGGGACUAAACUGCUUUUUAGUACUACUUGUCACCCCCAAACUGAUGGACAAACUGAAGUAGUCAAUAGAACGUUGUCUACUAUGCUUAGGGCUGUUUUGAAGCAUAAUAAGAAAAUGUGGGAGGAAUGCUUGCCUCAUAUUGAAUUUGCUUAUAAUCGUUCAUUGCAUUCUACUACUAAGAUGUGCCCUUUUGAAGUUGUGUAUGGUUUCCUACCUCGUGCACCUAUUGAUUUGUUGCCUCUUCCAUCUUCGGAGAAGGUUAAUUUUGAUGCUAAACAACGUGCUGAAUUGAUUUUAAAAAUGCAUGAGUUAACUAAGGAAAACAUUGAGCGCAUGAAUGCUAAAUAUAAACUUGCUGGAGAUAAGGGUAGAAAACAUGUUGUGUUUGCACCUGGAGAUCUUGUUUGGUUACAUUUGCGUAAGGAUAGAUUUCCUGAUUUGCGCAAAUCAAAGUUAAUGCCACGUGCUGAUGGUCCCUUUAAGGUGUUAGAGAAAAUAAAUGAUAAUGCAUAUAAACUUGAGCUGCCUGCAGAUUUUGGGGUUAGUCCCACUUUUAACAUUGCAGAUUUGAAGCCUUAUUUGGGUGAGGAAGAUGAACUUCCGUCGAGGACGACUUCAUUUCAAGAAGGGGAGGAUGAGGAGGACAUCAAUACAAUUGUUACACCCACAGCCCCUGCUGCUAUACAUACUGGACCAAUUACUAGAGCUCGUGCACGCCAACUAAAUUACCAGGUACUUUCGUUUCUUGGUAAUGAUUCUAAUGUUCAUGAGAAUAUGAUGCUGCCUAAAUUGGAUACAUUUGUUUUGCUUACAAAUGAAGGGCCUAGCUUGGAGAAGGAUGAACAUUGGAGCAAGAACAAGCAUGGAGAUGAUGGCAUGCGCAAGGGGAACAAGAACGAGUUACAAGUGAUGAUUUCAGGACUUUGA
rnacentral:rRNA from 1 species